rnacentral:lncRNA from 1 species
UAGAGACUGACGCAUUCGCAUUCGUGAAGCAGUCUUGGGCGCCGGGUUGUCAGUGCUGUCAGCCUACCUAAGCAGAGGAAAAUGGUGCAGGCAGAGCGCACCUGGUCUCGGGAAAAUGCUGCCCGCGACAACCCACUGCGGGACCCUAAAUGUCUCGACAAUAAGGCCUCCUCGGCACGUCUCUGAGGUCGGGUCCCGCUGGAGGAGGAGGCGUUUCGAAACUGUGAGGUGGGUGCUGGAAAUUGCUCUUCUGACUCUGUUCCAGAAAGAGGCUGUGUGCAAGAAUCCGGUCGCAUGGGAAUGAAAAUACAGUCCGGUUGGAACCACUCUUUUGGUACCAUCUUCAAAGAGACAUUUCAGAUCCCAUUGAGGCGUACAGAGGAAAACCAAAUAUCCUGCAAUUAAAAACUAGAAACAAGCUAUUUGUGAAAAUGCUUUGUGAUGUG